CCUGCCGUAUCACCGGCAGUUUCUUACCCCGGCAUGCAUUACUGGUAACGGUUUUGUAUGAAGCCCGGGGGACAAUGAAGCCCGGGGGACAAUGAAGCCCGGGGGACAAUGAAGCCCUUGGUCGAAAGACCUGGAGAGCAAGUCUUGAGGCAAGCUCAACUCUGGCAGCAUCAAGCCGGUUGGGAG
rfam:Desulfobacterium autotrophicum HRM2 plasmid pHRM2a, complete sequence.